UCUGCUUAUUAUUUACAUUUUUUAAAGUAUUAGCAAAUAUAUAUACACGUACUGCAGAACUUAAUCAGGGCAGAAGGUACUAUCCAUGAGGACAUUUAAUCUUCAAAAUGCUGUAAUAUACAUCUAUUUUUCUGUAUAUUUAACCCACCCUGAAUUUCUUAUCAACCAUACUGACACUUCUGCCAAGAAGUAUCUGCUGUAAAUGACCAAGAAGCAACGGCUAGAGCUAUUUUCAUAGGCCUCAUGGCAGGGUCUGGGAAAGCAGUGGCAAUGUUAUCUUUUAAAUGCUGAGGCCGUGUAGCUGCAGGGUGCUUCUACUCACACCUUCUCUUACCAGCAUUAGCCCAUGCCCACUUUUUGUUCUGAUGUCAACUGCCCACCUUCUGUCCUUGUUAGCGGCCACCACCUGGAUGGCUCUCUGAUCAUGUGUGGACAGUCAUUUGCUAUAUCACUGCCACUCUGUAUCACAUCUUUGACUUGGGUUUUAGCACCUUCACUUUAAAUUUGAGACUCCUUUAAAUGCAUUUUCUGACCUCACUCUCAACCCAGUUGUGUUUGUACCUUUCAUCUGCCUCUUCUUCCAUUUCAGCAACUUUACUAUAUUCUAGCUAUUUUAAAUCCCAAAGAAGGCCAAUAAUAAGUGGUUUUACGGCUCCUGAAAGACAAGUGUAAUAGCAUUUUGUAAGUAUAAGACAGGAAUGAGAAUUUUGACUAUGACUGCAAAGGAAGGAAGAUUGUUCCUUGGAGAGAGCAAUACAGUGAAUGUUCACAGAACCACAGCAUGGCUGGGGUUGGAAGUGACCUCUGGAGGUCACCUGGUCCAAUCCUUGCUUCAGUAUGGCCAUCCAGAGCAGGUUGCCUGGCAACAUGUCCAGGUGGCUUCUGCAGAUCUCCAAGGAGGAGUCUGCACAUCUCUGGGCAACCUGUGCCAGUGCUCCAUCAUCUACACAGCACAGAAGUGCUUCCUGAUGUUCAGAUGGAGCCUCUUGCCCUGGCACUGGACACCACCAAAGAGCGCUUCAUUUCAUCUUCAAUGUACUCUCCCUUCAGGGUGUACGAAUACUUAUGAGGAAGAAGUCUGAGGAUUACGCUACAGAAGACCUGUAAGACACGGCAGAUGCUGAGGCUUUAGCAGCAAUGAACAAUUCCCACCUACACAUCACGAUGCCCUGGAGCCAUCACGAAAGACGAGAAAACGUGUAAGGAGGCUGUAAAAGAACAGUGCAGAAAGAAGACCUGCUGCAGGGGAGCUGCUCUUGGAAAGAAAAGCAGCCGGAGCAGUUCUGGGUACUUUGAAGACUUCCAGAAGGAAGUAUGAAGAGAAAAGGGGAGUGGUUCCUAACAGCGUUGCACAAACUGGGGGGAAGUGUGAGCAGCUGAGCCUUGGAGACUCACACAUCACUGAUUUUUACUACCUCUCCUAUUUCAGCAUUUGUUUUUUCUCUGUGUUCUUCAUUUACAUAACUAGUCAAUCUGUAUCAACAUCUGGUAGAUAAAUUACAUGAUACAGCUAAGGUCAUCACUGCAAUUACCUAUUGCCACUUCCAUUUGACCAUUAAACAACAAUUAUGUCAUUUCAUAUUGAUGGUUCGUUAUGUAACUUUAAGUAACCAUAACUUUAAAUGAAGAGUGAAAUUGCCAAACUUGAGUCAGCAAUAGAUGCUUCAUUAAAACUGACAAAAUUGCUACGUUGUUGAAAUAAUAAAGAGAAGCAGUCCAGAGCAAGCACUUCAGCUUCUUAAAAGGAAAAGCUUAUGUUUAAAGAACAACCAGGUAAAAAUUUCCAAUACACACACUAACUUUCAAAUGAAGUAUUUUACAGUUAUUAAAAAUAUCUUUAUAAAUAGCCUCAUUUCAGCAAAUGAGAGGGAAGAGAAUCUGAGAAUACUUCCUUUGUGGGCAGGUUAUUUUACAAUUUCUUCCUGCAGCUUCUUUCUGCUUUCUGUGAUGCAGUCUGUCCUGGAGACAGGAUACUGGACUGUUGGACUGACAACCCGAUGAGGUACUGCAAUUUACCUCAAGUAAUUUACCUUCAUUUUUAUAAACACCCAAACCCCUAAAAACAAUGCCGGGAAAAAUAAGCUUGAAACCUGGAAUUCAUCCAUUUGAGCAAAGUGUGCUGUGGUAAUUUCUAGGUGUAUGAAGUGGAUAUGUGAAGAAUAAAGCCAACAUUACUUCUCCUUUUACAAGAAGUCUUGUAUUGUGCCUAGUUGCGUCUUCCUCACUCUCUUAAAAAUUAAGCUUUCAGUAAUCUGGAAGAAUUUCAAUUAGAUGCAAAGAUCCCCUAGCAAAUUACAAUACACUGGAAUCAAUUAAAGUGUGGUGAAUUUACAGAAAGGCAACACAUCCGUCAGUACCUGGGAUGUACAGAAAGCUCUAUCUCAUCGCUCAAUUGCUCCCCACGGGCUAAAUGUAGGAGUUGGAAAAUGGAA